rnacentral:rRNA from 1 species
AUCGCAGGCUGCAACCCGCCUGCGUGAAGUCGGAAUCGCUAGUAAUCGCGGAUCAGCAUGCCGCGGUGAAUACGUUCCCGGGCCUUGUACACACCGCCCGUCACACCAUGAGAACUGGGAACACCCGAAGCCCGUAGCCUAACCUGCAAAGGAGGGCGCGGUCGAAGGUGGGCUUAGUAAUUGGGGUGAAGUCGUAACAAGGUAUC